AUGAUAAUGACUUGGCUGAGGACUUGCGUGGGACCGUCCCAGAUUCAGGAAGCCAUUCAGAAGGCUACAACAGCGGUGUGCUCAAAGAUUCCAGCGGUGGAAAAAGUCUGCAAAGAUAUCCUCACCAGAUUUUUGUGUAGUGUUGCCCAGUUUUUCCUGAAUAGUGAUCCCUCCAGGGAUAUCUGUGUGACCUUCAGGUUGUGCAGACAUCAAGUAGGUGUCCAAGGAGCUGGGACCUUACUCCACCCCGGGGAGAAGCACAGAGUCUCCAGCAGGCACCGCCAGCUCCUGCCUUCCUAAAUCCAGGACGGACCCUCCAGUUUCUCUCAGCUAGCUCCCUGCAGUGUCGUCCCCUGGCAGGAGAAUAAAAUGUCUUGCAAGCUUUUGGCCACAGCUUCUGUUCCUUUGGGGGAUUGGAGGGGA
rnacentral:lncRNA from 1 species